GGGGCUCUUCAGACCUCAUGCUAUCGGAUGAACCCAGGUGGGAUUAGCUAGUUGGUGAGGUAAUGGCUCACCAUGGCGACGAUCUCUAACUGGUUUGAGAGAAUGACCAGUCACGCUGGAACUGAUACACGGUCCACACUCCUACGGGAGGCAGCAGUGGGGAAUAUUGCACAAUGGGCGCAAGCCUGAUGCAUCCAUGCCGCGUGUGUCAAGAAGGCCUUCGGGUUGUAAAGCACUUUCAGCUGGUAGGCCUCGUCCCUUGUUGAUGCCUAGUGGCAUUGGCGUCACUCGCAGAAGGAGCCCCGUCUAUCUCCGUCCCCGCACCCGCUGUUAUGUGGAGGGCGCAAGUUUUCAUCGUUUUUUCUGGGUGUAAAGCUCAUGCAGGCGGUUUGUUUAGUCUGAUGUGAUAUCCCCGAUCUCCCUUUGGUAUCUGCAUUGGAAGCUCGCAAUCUAGAGUCUUGUAGAGGGGGGUAGUUUUCCAGGUGUAGCGGUGAUAUGCGUAGAUCUCUGGAGAAAUCCCGUGGGGAAGGCGGCCCCCUGGACAAAAAUGAGGCUCAGGUGGGAAAGCGUGGGAGCAAACAGGAUUAGAUACCCUGGUAGUCCACGCUGUAAACGAUGUCGAUCUGGAGGUUGUGCCCUCGAGGCGUGGCUUCCGGAGCUAACGCGUUAAAUCGACCGCCUGGGGAGUACGGCCGCAAGGUUAAAACUCAAAUGAAUUGACGGGGGCCCGCACAAGCGGUGGAGCAUGUGGUUUAAUUAGAUGCAACGCGAAGAACCUUACCUACUCUUGACAUCCAGAGAACUUUCCAGAGAUGGAUUGGUGCCUUCGGGAACUCUGAGACAGGUGCUGCAUGGCUGUUGUCAGCUCGUGUUGUGAAAUGUUGGGUUAAGUCCCGCAGCGAGCGCAACCCUUAUCCUUUGUUGCCAGUGAUUCGGUCGGGAACUCAAAGGAGACUGCCGGUGAUAAACCGGAGGAAGGUGGGGAUGACGUCAAGUCAUCAUGGCCCUUACGAGUAGGGCUACACACGUGCUACAAUGGCAUAUACAAAGGGCGGCAAGCUAGCGAUAGUGAGCGAAUCCCAUAAAGUAUGUCGUAGUCCGGAUUGGAGUCUGCAACUCGACUCCAUGAAGUCGGAAUCGCUAGUAAUCGCGGAUCAGAAUGCCGCGGUGAAUACGUUCCCGGGCCUUGUACACACCGCCCGUCACACCAUGGGAGUGGGUUGCAAAAGAAGUAGGUAGCUUAAAAUUCGGGAGGGCGCUUACCACUUUGUGAU
rnacentral:rRNA from 1 species